rnacentral:rRNA from 1 species
UAAGGAAUAUUGGUCAAUGGGCGCAAGCCUGAACCAGCCAUGCCGCGUGCAGGAAGACGGCCCUAUGGGUUGUAAACUGCUUUUGUACGGGAAAAAACCCCGGGUUUCGUACCUGGGCUGAUGGUACCGUAAGAAUAAGGAUCGGCUAACUCCGUGCCAGCAGCCGGGGUAAUACGGAGGAUCCAAGCGUUAUCCGGAUUUAUUGGGUUUAAAGGGUGCGCAGGCGGAAUGAUUAGUCAGUGGUGAAAUCCUACAGCUUAACUGUAGAACUGCCAUUGAUACUGUCAUUCUUGAGUAUAAUUGAUGUGGGCGGAAUGUGUCAUGUAGCGGUGAAAUGCUUAGAUAUGACACAGAACACCGAUCGCGAAGGCAGCUCACAAAGCUAUAACUGACGCUCAGGCACGAAAGCGUGGGGAUCAAACA